UUACACUGUUAAAUAUUACUGUGAUUUCACAAUACCUUACAGUAUUAUUUCACAGUAAAUUACUGUACUCAAACAUUUACUGUAAAAUCACAGUAGCUCUAUCACAUUACAGCACCUUGUUGUGAAAUUUGAAUUGCACUUGAACCGCACAGCAUUGUGGGGCGAUUUCUAACGUUCACCCCUCCCACCCGCACCUGCCACCCUCAACUGAAUUUUCAACUCAGCCGUCCACCAGUGACUUCAAUCAUCACUUUUCUGCAUGUGUAAGCUGUACAAACUCUGCCAUCAUAUCCAAGACAUUGCAUUGUGAGGACUGUUGCCCUGGGAACACUGAGCGCAUUCUCGAAAAUUCCAAAUUUGUGCCACUUCCAUACGAAGACAGCCCAGAAUAAUUGGGCUCCAUCAACCAUCCCGGGUAAAGUCGGUCUGUCCUGAUUGCACUACUUGCUAAUUGAUGACGUCUAGAAGCCAUAGCUGCUUCCCUGGCAGCCCUCACAAAUAAACUGAUACCAGGAAUUAACAUACAGUAGAUGGUGAUGGUGGUG